GGUCGCGUGGCCAAAUGGUACGGCGUCUGACUACGAUUCAUAUCUUCGUUUAUCAGGAGAUCGCGGGUUCGAUCCCCGUCGUGACCU
rnacentral:tRNA from 1 species